UUCAGAUUGGAUAUUAGGAAUCAUUUCUUCUCAGCAAGAGCAGUGAGGCAGUGGCACAGGCUGCCCAGGGAGGUGGUGGAGUCACCGUCCCUGGAGGUGUUGAAGAGCCGUGUGGAUGUGGCAAGGAGGGACGUGGGCAGUGGGCAUGGUGGGAGUGGGCUAAUGGUUAGACUAGGUGGUCUUAGUGGUCUUUUCAACCUUAAUGAUUCUAUGUUUCUAUGAUUCUUAUCUCAGGAAAUUCCCUAGGACCAGAAUGCCAACUUCUCUGAGGUGCUUUAGGACAUGUGGGAGAAGAGCAAAUUCCAAGUGCAGUUGUUCAUCAUUGUGUCCCAUUUCAGUGAGUGUGACAGUUAAAGCAAAAAGCAGUGAGACUGUGUGUCUAACUGGGACGGCAGAUAAGAAAAGCCCUCCAUGGCAGUGCUGUCAAAGCAGCCCUGGAAUACUUUCCCUGCUGUCAGAAGCAGCAUGUGUCUUGGCCUCUGAUCUGAAGUCUUUUAAGGGAAAUGCUCUAGUCUGGAAAAUUAUUAUACUGCUUCACAGACAUACUUGUGAAAUAAGAACAUCACCACAUAGAACAUUAUUUCAUCUCUGCAUACCUUCAUACUUUCUCUCUGGACCAUUCGGGAAAUCCUUUGGACAAUUCAGAAGUAUCUGAGGACCCCAAAGGAUGGCAGGGAGGCAGAGGGGAGCACCACUUCCUAACUCAGAGCAAAAACAGUGACCCUAUUCCAGACAAGACAUCGGCUUGAAGAAAAGAAAGAAGGAAAGAUUCAGUUUUAGCCUCUUCCCCUCUCCUGGGUGAAGAGGGACCAGCUGUUGCAUUCUCAGUCUUCAGGGAGUGCAGUGCGUACUUAAUUCAUCACAGGGCUGCUUCCCUGGGAGAUCAGACAGAGAGGAGGGAGGGGAGCAGUGAAGCAACUCCCAAGCCAAGUUCUCAAGCAAUCAAAGCACAAAGACUUCCUUGAAAAGCUCCUCAUUACAAAGCUAUUUGAAACUUAGCUUGUCCAUGUAAGUAAGGGAUGGAAAACUCCUUGCUGAUUCCUCCAGUGCAGCUUAGAAAAAAAGAAAAAAAAAAAAAAAGAAAGAAAAGCCCUCAUAACUGACUUCUGUUCCUUUAAGAGGGGUUUCCUAUCAAAUCCCUUGUGAGUAUGGCUGCUGAAGGCAGCAGAUUCCAACACAACUUCUUUCACCAAUGGACACAAUUCAUCCUAUUAAAAAAAAAAAUAACACUGGCUGUGUAGGUGGGUGAGAAAAUGUUAACAGCUGCACUCAUGAAUCUGUGCUGGAGUAGCAAGCUGCCAAAAAUACUUGUACUGUGAACAACUGUUCUAAAUUUGGUUACCUGCUUUAUGUUAUU
ensembl:lncRNA